CGCAGCCUGCCACUGCUGCGUGUUUCGAUUAAUCUACGUGUUUGCUCUGGAGAAUGGACAUCUGCUUCUUUGGUCUGGUCUACACAGAGAGAGUGAGAAAGGGGUGGAGAGAGGGAAUGGGUUCUGCUUCCGCAUCUAGGCCGAUUGAGGGUUAAGGGACUCAUCCAAUUCGCAAUAGCAUCAUGUUAUCAAAAUGAACAUGAACUAAGAAUCAGCGAGUGUGGAAGAGGAGGGAUUUACAUUUACUGAUGUCCUGCAAAUAUUGGUGUUACGCCAUUUGCAGAGAAGAGUGUGCAGGCUUGCGAUUGCUGUUGAGGUCCAAAGAACAAGUCUCCUAGGGCAAAACCAUUUGGGUUCUGCGGACGAAAAGAAAAGGAGAGGAGAACAAAAAAGCAAGAAGAGAACAGGGAAGAAGGGAAAAAAAGAAGAGAUUCAGAGGAAGAACGAAAGAAAGAAAAGUAGCGGCUUUCCCUCUCAGUAUUUGAUUUUAUGUACGGCAAAUCAUCUAUUGGAAUUGGGUUUAUGUUUAUCACACGACUAUGUGGUGAAGGCCAGGGCUACAUGAAAGUUUGAACCUUGGCGUAAUGAGUUUCAAGGCAGAUAUUUUCAGCCCUAUUUCGAUGACCAAAAUGAAGAAGCAAUAAUUAGCAUCCAAUGACUAGGAAAGGAACUUCUGUUGUUGAUUGCACGAGUUAACAAAGUCAUUAAACUUAUCACUUACAUUGGCACUCUAUAUGUUCUGUAAUAAACAGUUAAUUGGCUCCCUUUCAUUUUAUUGUCAUUAUCAUUGUCAUGACAUAUAUAUAGGUAUAUACACACUUAUGACUAUGCACGACACUUUGUUAGUGCUUGCACUCGCAUUCUUCGGCUUGAGGGGACGCCCGAAGGAGUUGAGGAUCAAGGGAGGCUUACUCGAGUGGCUGCGUUUAUACAUGCAGACAACUGGUGUGGAUCCAAUAACUAGAAGGCAUGUGCGGAACAUCAUUGAGGAUGCAAAGAAGAGGUGUGCAAUUGUUCUAACCACCGACUCAAUAGUAGAAGCUGACUUUCUGACUGAUAGGAUAGGAAUAAUGGCAAAGAGUAGGCUCUGUUGCAUAGGUACUUCAAUCAGGCUGAAAGCACGGUCUGGUACUGGCUUCAUUGCUAAUGUUAGUUUCAGUGGAAGCACCAAUGGAUAAAGUCCUCCGCAUGUGGAUGCAGUUACUACACCUCACCAUUAGGCAGUGAAGCAGUUCAAAUUAGUUUGUUUAUUUUCAAAAAUGGUAUGUAUUUUUGUAUGCAUACAAAGGUUAAUGCUAACAUGGAAAAUAUUUGACAGCAUUUGGAUGUUUAUCAAUAGAAAAUAACAAAGCCUUUCUGAUUUCUGUAAUUAAUGAUCAUGUUAGCCGUUAU